CCUACGGGAGGCUGCAGUGAGGAAUAUUGGUCAAUGGACGGAAGUCUGAACCAGCCAUGCCGCGUGCAGGAAGACGGCCCUAUGAGUUGUAAACUGCUUUUGUACAAGGGUAAACCUGCAUACGUGUAUUCAUCUGAAUGUACUGUACGAAUAAGGAUCGGCUAACUCCGUGCCAGCAGCCGCGGUAAUACGGAGGAUCCAAGCGUUAUCCGGAUUUAUUGGGUUUAAAGGGUGCGUAGGCGGAUUGAUAAGUUUGCGGUGAAAUGUCCGGGCUUAACUCGGGAAUUGCCUCUAAAACUGGUGGUCUAGAGAGUGGGUAAGGUAGGCGGAAUGUGUGGUGUAGCGGUGAAAUGCUUAGAGAUCAUGCAGAACACCGAUUGCGAAGGCAGCUUAC
rnacentral:rRNA from 1 species